UUUCCGUUAAUCAAGAACGAAAGUUAGAGGUUCRAAGGCGAUCAGAUACCGCCCUAGUUCUAACCAUAAACGAUGCCAGCCAGCGAUCCGCCGAAGUUCCUCCGAUGACUCGGCGGGCAGCUUCCGGGAAACCAAAGCUUUUGGGUUCCGGGGGAAGUAUGGUUGCAAAGCUGAAACUUAAAGGAAUUGACGGAAGGGCACCACCAGGAGUGGAGCCUGCGGCUUAAUUUGACUCAACACGGGAAACCUCACCAGGCCCGGACACCGGAAGGAUUGACAGAUUGAGAGCUCUUUCUUGAUUCGGUGGGUGGUGGUGCAUGGCCGUUCUUAGUUGGUGGAGCGAUUUGUCUGGUUAAUUCCGGUAACGAACGAGACUCUAGCCUGCUAAAUAGACGAUUUCCGGUAUCCACAAUAGUGCUACCGGCGAAAUCAAUAUCUUCUUAGAGGGACAGGCGGCUUUCAGCCGCACGAAACUGAGCAAUAACAGGUCUGUGAUGCCCUUAGAUGUCCUGGGCCGCACGCGCGCUACACUGAAGGAAUCAGCGUGUACACCCUGGCCGAAAGGCUCGGGCAACCCGUUGAACCUCCUUCGUGCUAGGGAUUGGGGCUUGCAAUUGUUCCCCAUGAACGAGGAAUUCCCAGUAAGCGCGAGUCAUAAGCUCGCGUUGAUUACGUCCCUGCCCUUUGUACACACCGCCCGUCGCUACUACCGAUUGAAUGAUUUAGUGAGGUCUUCGGACUGG
rnacentral:rRNA from 1 species